rfam:Gossypium hirsutum cultivar TM-1 chromosome 24, whole genome shotgun sequence
AAUAGGAGAAUAACAAAUCAUAUUUUUUCUCUUGAUUUUUAGAUUUUUUCUCCUGAAAAGAAUUCAAAUCCAGCUAAAAAUAUUAAAAAUUAAGAGCAAAAAUCUAAUUUGUUAUUAUCCUAUU